AAGUCGAACGCUUUUUCUUUCACCGGAGCUUGCUCCACCGAAAGAAAAAGAGUGGCGAACGGGUGAGUAACACGUGGGUAACCUGCCCAUCAGAAGGGGAUAACACUUGGAAACAGGUGCUAAUACCGUAUAACACUAUUUUCCGCAUGGAAGAAAGUUGAAAGGCGCUUUUGCGUCACUGAUGGAUGGACCCGCGGUGCAUUAGCUAGUUGGUGAGGUAACGGCUCACCAAGGCAACGAUGCAUAGCCGACCUGAGAGGGUGAUCGGCCACACUGGGACUGAGACACGGCCCAGACUCCUACGGGAGGCAGCAGUAGGGAAUCUUCGGCAAUGGACGAAAGUCUGACCGAGCAACGCCGCGUGAGUGAAGAAGGUUUUCGGAUCGUAAAACUCUGUUGUUAGAGAAGAACAAGGAUGAGAGUAAAAUGUUCAUCCCUUGACGGUAUCUAACCAGAAAGCCACGGCUAACUACGUGCCAGCAGCCGCGGUAAUACGUAGGUGGCAAGCGUUGUCCGGAUUUAUUGGGCGUAAAGCGAGCGCAGGCGGUUUCUUAAGUCUGAUGUGAAAGCCCCCGGCUCAACCGGGGAGGGUCAUUGGAAACUGGGAGACUUGAGUGCAGAAGAGGAGAGUGGAAUUCCAUGUGUAGCGGUGAAAUGCGUAGAUAUAUGGAGGAACACCAGUGGCGAAGGCGGCUCUCUGGUCUGUAACUGACGCUGAGGCUCGAAAGCGUGGGGAGCGAACAGGAUUAGAUACCCUGGUAGUCCACGCCGUAAACGAUGAGUGCUAAGUGUUGGAGGGUUUCCGCCCUUCA
rnacentral:rRNA from 1 species